rnacentral:misc_RNA from 1 species
GAAAAUUUGAGUGAUCAUUGGUGAAAUUAAUUCAAAAAUUAAAUGAUUAAAUGCUACAUAGCAAUUGAUAAGUGUGAAGCACAUCACCUUUCUAUUGGCAUUGAAAGGAAAAUAUGCAUAUAUUUUUUGGUCUACUAAGAAAGGAUAGUGGGAUUCAACAAGCAUAGGUUUUUUUCCAAAUUGAGCGCUGAACUUAUCAGUAGAAUAGACAUGUGGUACAUUCAUAGCAAAAUAUGAAUAUAUAGAUUGAAAUAAUGAUGGAAAGGCACUUGAGAGCACUAAACAGGAGGCCCCUCUUUUCCAUCACUGACCUUCUUCUCCGUCUCUGCAGCAAUCAAAUCGUUGAAAGUUUUAAGCUCCUUUUCACCAGAGUCACCAGGUGUAAGACGAACUUUGUAUUGGUGUCUUAUUGAAAACACAAGGAAAACAAAAAAGUUCAAUGUUCCUAGCACUGCAAGCAACCAAUAGAAGUUAUUUAACCUUCCCUUGUUCAAGUUGCUCCUGAGCCAUGUUUUCUUGGUCACUUUGUCAACUAUUGACACUAACAAACUACUAACAAAGAAACCCAUAGAGAGUGUGCUUAGGAAAAGCCCUGUGCUCAUUGAUUUCAUCCUCUCAGGUGCCUCUCUGAUGAAAAAUUCAAGUUGUCCAACGUAAACAAAAGCUUCCCCAGCACCCACCAGGAAGAAUUGGGGGACUAACCAGAAAGCAGUUAUCUGGGAAUUAUGUCGAACAGCAAUUUCCCUCCUCGCGUUCUCAAUAACAGCAGCUGCCACCAUUGCAGCUACUGAAAAAAUGAGUCCAAUACCAAUCCUUUGAAGACUUGUGAGUCCUUGGGUGUUGUGAGUGAGCUUUCGAGACAGGGGCACGAAGAGCCUUUCAUUGAGGGAUGUAAAUAGAAGAAUAGUGAUGAAGAGAAAGGUAGAAAACGAACCAGAAGGAAUAAGCAGGGAGCCAACCUUUCGGUUCAUGAAGGUCGCCUGCUCAAUGGUGAAAGUAGUCAUCUGAGAAUAGACUGUCCAAAAGAGGAUACAUGUAGACCAAAUAGGGAUGAGCUUGAGCACCAUCUUCACCUCUUCAACUUCCAUUACAGUGGACACUAUCCAAGGGUUGUUUUUGUUUCCUCCAGCAGAGGUGUGAUCAUCUAUAAUUGAAGCCUUGUCGAGAAAUUUGAACUUCUCAGUGUGGGGGACCUUGGAAUUGUGGUAAUCAUUCAAGAGGCUGGGAUGAGAAGGGUAGGGAUGAUUCCUCUUUCUCCAAGACAAGAAUAAGACCCUCCAUAUUACCGUUAAAGGGCUGCCUUGAGGCCUCUUGAAACGGUACCAUGGUGUCCCACAAAGCAAUAUAGCUACAGCAAUUACCAUUGUCCCUGCGGAUGUUCCAUAUCCCCACCCUCUUCCCACAUUAUCUUGUACGUAUACCAGCACUAUUACUGCAAACAAGGACCCAAUGCUGAUGCAGAAGUAGAAUCUAUUGAAGAAGAAAAUCAUGGCCUUCUCCUCCUUGGGGUCUGUCGAGUCGAAUUGAUCAGAUCCGAACCCUGACACGUUGGACUUGAUUCCACCACCACCAAGUGCUAUGGUAUACAGUGCUGCAUAUAGCAAAGCCAUUUGCCUGCCAUCGGCUUCAAUACACUGAUGAUGCUGUCUCCUGUAGUCGUCACACGGUGGAGGUCUCAUGCUAGAGAUGGUUGUAGCAAGUGUUAACAGAGUUACUCCCUGGUGAAGACAAAACGGAUUUGGCAUAAAUACCUCAACUGUAGAGAAAUACGCCUGAUUUUUGGUUUUUCAACUAGAGGUACCAUAACAGGUUGAGGGAUCAAUUGUUCAAACCCAAUCUCCCUCCCUGAAUCAAAGUUCAAGAAGAAUUUUCUACGCUGAUAUGGUACUAUUAGCACCAAAUUGCAUAAUGGGUGACUGAACAACCUAAAUAAACCUAAACAAGGUGACAUUUUAUUCUCUUGAACUGUAAAAUACACUUCAAUCAUAUUCUGAAAUGAGGGCUGGACUAUUACAUCAACUAUGUUUGCAAAUUUUGGUUCAGAGCUUACCACAGCAGUUAUGGAUGAAAAGAUUACCACUGUCAAAUACCGACCAAGUUUAGCAUCUGCCAAGAAACCCCCAAGCAAGCCAAGGAGGUUGAGAGUACCCAAGAAGUUGGUGACAAUGGUUGCAGAUUUUGCAGAAGAAAUAUGCAGAUCUCCUACCAAGUAUGUCACUAAAUUCAUUGAUAUCCCCAUCACACAUAUCCUCUCAGAAAGCUCAGUCCCUGUAAAAGUAUUACAGUGGAGAUUAAUAGAGCUUCAUUACAAGUUAAAAAAGCAACAUAUCCAGGUUGUUUUUUUAAGAAGCACCCAAAAUUAGCCCUGCAGCAAGCCAUCCUCCAGUUUUGGACUUGUCUGCAGGAUUUCCAUGAAAAUCCACAGCAGUGUCAUGGUGUGCUCCAUCCUCGUCGCCAUGGUUGGCUACUAAAACCAUUUUCUGACAGAAAGAAGUUGAUACUAUUUUAGCUCUGAAAAGGGUUUAUAAAAGAAGUGAAUGAUUGGAGUUGGGAUGGAGCCAAGUGUUCUCUCUCUCUCUAAUCUAUAAAGAAGAAAACAAAAAUUGCAUGAUUAUAAGGGAAAUAUGAUGAGCGUUAGGCAGUGGUAGAGUUCUCAUAGCUUCCACAACUUGUGUUCAUUGAUAACUGAUAAAGAGUGACUUAGAUGAUUUGUUGUU